AUGAGCCAGAACGUAAGAUGUGACGAU
rnacentral:sRNA from 1 species